AUCCAGCUGACGAGUCCCAUAUAGGACGAAACGUGCGUCCUGGAU
rfam:Schistosoma haematobium scaffold443_24, whole genome shotgun sequence.